rnacentral:rRNA from 1 species
UGGGGGUCUAGUUAAGCACUCUUGUACCGUGAAACUGCGAAUGGCUCAUUAAAUCAGUUAUCGUUUAUUUGAUAGUACCCUACUACAUGGAUACCUGUGGUAAUUCUAGAGCUAAUACAUGCGCAAAACCCCGACUUCGGAAGGGGUGUAUUUAUUAGAUAAAAAACCAAUGCCCCUCGGGGCUCCUUGGUGAUUCAUAAUAACUUCACGAAUCGCAUGGCCUUGCGCCGGCGAUGGUUCAUUCAAAUUUCUGCCCUAUCAACUUUCGAUGGUAGGAUAGUGGCCUACCAUGGUGGCAACGGGUAACGGGGAAUUAGGGUUCGAUUCCGGAGAGGGAGCCUGAGAAACGGCUACCACAUCCAAGGAAGGCAGCAGGCGCGCAAAUUACCCAAUCCCGAUACGGGGAGGUAGUGACAAUAAAUACUGAUACAGGGCUCUUUUGGGUCUUGUAAUUGGAAUGAGAACAAUCUAAAUCCCUUAACGAGGAACAAUUGGAGGGCAAGUCUGGUGCCAGCAGCCGCGGUAAUUCCAGCUCCAAUAGCGUAUAUUAAAGUUGUUGCAGUUAAAAAGCUCGUAGUUGAACCUUGGGCCCGUCCUGCCGGUCCGCCUCACCGCGAGUACUGGUCCGGAUGGGCCUUUCUUUCUGGGGAAUCCCAUGGCCUUCACUGGCUGUGGCGGGGAACCAGGACUUUUACUGUGAAAAAAUUAGAGUGUUCAAAGCAGGCCUUUGCUCGGAUACAUUAGCAUGGAAUAAUAGAAUAGGACGUGCGGUUCUAUUUUGUUGGUUUCUAGGACCGCCCGUAAUGAUUAAUAGGGAUAGUCGGGGGCGUUCAGUAUUUCAGCUGUCAGAGGUGAAUUCUUGGGAUUUGCUGAAGACUAA